UGGAGUAGCCUUGGAACAGGUGAGGAUCAUGUGCCUCAUCAGGCCCAGGUGUUGCAAUCAGCCUGCAAAGUACAAAAGGGAAGCAGAGCUGAAGUGCUGUGUCUGCUCAGCAGCUCAUGUUGGUGGGCCUUGGUUUGGAUUUUCCUGGACCUGCUUUGGGUUUGACUUUGUACUGUCUCCUGACUGCUGGACUUCAAACCUGACUACCUGGGUUGACCCUGGACUGUGUUUCCUGACCUUUGCUCGUGUGGAUUGAUCCUCGGACAUUGAACUUUGGACUUGACAUCCUGACUUGCUGCCAGAGUGUCCUGUUUCAAUUUAUUGUCUCGUAAACAGAAAUACCUUGGACUGGAGAAGCUUCUAUCUAUGGUCCACCUGCCAGAGAGAGACUGUUUCAAACUGCUGCCAUGUUUUGACCGUAACCUGGAGACUUGUCCCUAGUGUAAUUACUACAGGGCUUGCAUUCAGGAUUAGAACCUUCAAUCCAGUUAUUUCAUUGGCUUUAACUGGUUUAUGAACUGCAUCAAAUAAGGCAACAGCCAAGUGAGGACCAGGGGAUCCCCGAGCAUCAAAGUCAGCAGCAUCUUCCUGCAAAAUAGGCCAAUGAAGAGUAGCCAGAAUGCAUUCAGGGGAAGCUGAAACAACUUUGCAUUUUAUCUCCCACAUGCUUCUCCAAUGUCAAAGGACAUCGCCUGUAAUUCCUACACUGCGUUAAACUUACUAAAUUAUUCAUUCUGAAUUAUGCUCUCAGAUGCUCUUGUCCUUCUGGAGAAGGUCUUUUGAGAGUCCCAGGGCUGAGCGCUUUCCAAGCAAUCCCUGGCUGCUGAUUAUUGACAUUGUGCUGUUAAUUUGCAAAGUGUUUUAAGGUACUCAGCCUGUUCUUGUGAAACUAGC